GGUCUUUUCAGUUUCAUUUCUACACUUUUCUACAAUAACUACAUGUAACAAGGUAAUUUAGUGUCCCUCCAUAUACCUCAUAGCUUAAUGUAAUAUUUUUAACUUGAAAAUUGCAUUGGAUUUUGUUAUAUGUUAUACAGAAAUGCAUAAUGCUCAGUACAGAAGUAUGUCAAAUGUGUAACUCCUACACCAGUCUGUAUUCACACCAAUAAUGCAUUUUGCCUUAAUUUCACAUAAAGAAAGAUACAGAACAAAAUGUAAAGAAGCUUAUACAGGACAAAUAUGUCAGCUUUUGCUUCUCUCCAAGGCCUGCAAGCAAAAGGAUAUCUACAGAAUAUUUAAGCAAGCAUUAUGGAUGUUGUCAAAGCAUCACACGUGCUUAUAGGAUUUCUAACUAGGCAGAGAUGCAAGAUAUAACUCUUGGCUGUUCAGUGUUAAGUAAAAAGUCUGUAGCACCAGAAUUCUGGUUUUGGCAUCUACCUAAAAUUGGAUUAUAAGAAAUAUAUUGUUAUAUUUCUUCACUCAGAUCUACUUCUAAAGUAAAGUGGCUUACCCUUCGUAUUUGCUUCUAUGCUUUAUCCUGGAAAAUUAUAUUCCACAAUUUCAGAAGAAAACACAUGAUUAGGUUGAUCAAGAAA